ACUUGGGAAAGUCACAUCCUGACAUGGUUACUUGUCCUGGUGUGCUAGAAUUCUGGAAGAGGAUCUGCUGGUGUUGGUUCACUAAUGAGGGCAGUCAGUGUCCAUAAUGGUGCUGUGAUCAGAAAUAUGU